AUGACUGCGCCGGAGGUGCCCAAGGCGAACCCGGAUGCUGGUGGGGGCCAUCAUGGGGCUCCCCUUGCGGAUGCUGCCCGCCCGAAGCCAGUGGAAGGGGGAACUGCAAGUACCAAGGCUGCGAAUCCUGACAUACAAGCGCUCGUUGUCGUGGUCCGGGAAAAGCCGGAGCUAUCUGCUUUUCUAGAGGAUGAGCCUUGCAGGGAUGAGGAUACUGGUAUGGCUGAUGGGAGUUCCAUGUUAGGAAAACACGGAGCAGGGGACAAGUAUGAUGCAGGUUCCUGGAAAGACAAGCAUGGCACGGCUAUGGCUGUCGCGCAGGUUUGUGAACAGCCGAACAUGGAGAAAGCACUACUGCCCUAUGAUGACACACCAUUGCAGGGGGGAGACAUGAAGCUUGGCAAGCUUAACAUGGAGGGAGACACAAGGGGGAGUCUAGCAUGA
rnacentral:rRNA from 1 species